ACAACAAGGCAGUGUGAAGAUAUGGCAAUUCAAAGUUCGAAAAAAAUCUAUUUUUAGUAACAAAAUGGCUGAUUUUUCAGUAAAAAUAGAACUUUGAAUCGCCAUAUCUUCGCACUGCCUUGUUGU